GUACUCGCUUCGGCGGUACAUGUACUAAAAUUGGAACGAUACAGAGGAGAUUAGCAUGGCCCCUGCGCAAGGAUGACACGCAAAAUCGUGAAGCAUUCCAUAUUUUU
rnacentral:snRNA from 1 species